AUCCUGUCGUUCUUGGAACAGAUCAAAUAUUGCAGUCGUGGUCGAUUGGCUGCAUCAUGGGAGACUGCACUAAGCGCGUUCACGCACUGUUGCUACUUCUUAUCGUAUGCUUCGCUAUUCAAGGGCAGUUUGAAGUCAUCAUUGUCAAUGGCGAGCGUAUUCCUCCGUGGUGCACAAAGUCUGCAACUAUACCAAUCUGCAACCCAGAUGAACAUAAAUGCUAUUGUUGUAUCGGCAAUUGGAAAUGCUUCAAAACAAUGGACGAGUGCAGAGCCAAUUGUGCAUAUUUACCUCCCUCCACUUCCUCUGUACUUCCGUAAAUCGGGUUAUUAUCAUGAGCUGGAAAAAAUGAAUAAGAUCCAGACAAUAAACAAUUUGCUACGAAUUUAUUAGUCAA